ACGAACGCUGGCGGCGUGCUUAACACAUGCAAGUCGAACGGAAAGGCCCUGCUUUUGUGGGGUGCUCGAGUGGCGAACGGGUGAGUAACACGUGAGUAACCUGCCCUUGACUUUGGGAUAACUUCAGGAAACUGGGGCUAAUACCGGAUAGGAGCUCCUGCCGCAUGGUGGGGGUUGGAAAGUUUCGGCGGUUGGGGAUGGACUCGCGGCUUAUCAGCUUGUUGGUGGGGUAGUGGCUUACCAAGGCUUUGACGGGUAGCCGGCCUGAGAGGGUGACCGGCCACAUUGGGACUGAGAUACGGCCCAGACUCCUACGGGAGGCAGAAGUGGGGAAUAUUGCACAAUGGGCGGAAGCCUGAUGCAGCAACGCCGCGUGCGGGAUGACGGCCUUCGGGUUGUAAACCGCUUUCGCCUGUGACGAAGCGUGAGUGACGGUAAUGGGUAAAGAAGCACCGGCUAACUACGUG
rnacentral:rRNA from 1 species